GGCUGAGAAUUGCCCAGGCCCUUGCGCUGCUGUGUCUUCACGAGAAUGAGGUCUCUCCGGGCUGUGAAACUGUUCGGUGUGACCUUGCCUCUGCCAAGCAGGGAUGAAUUGCCAAGGAGCAGAUUCACCCAGCCUCUCCAAAGCCCUGUCUCCACUCUUACCUCCCAUGUCCCUAUCCUCCACUUCCCCCAUAUUCCACACCCAUCCUCCAUCACCCCUUCCUCCAUUCCCCAUCUUCCCACCUCCUCCACCCCUACCUUCCAUCCUCCACCCUCUCACCCAACCCCCAACCCUGUCCCACCAAGUUCUUCCCACUCCAGAUCCAUCCUGAAAUCCUGCCUACAAUCAUGAACAGGAAAGAACCAGUUCCUUGCCGAGGAACAUCCCACCCCACCCCACUUCACCCCCUGCAGUUCCGGAAGACCAACCCACACCUCAGGGAUGACCACGCAGUGGAAUAACUGUCUUGACGGAGGUGUAAAGACGAUUCACCUGUUGUAAAACUGAUGAAAACUUCCCGGAAGUGCAGGCUCCGCAACUGGGCUGAGCAAAUCCAAGCUCGCAGGUGUCGUGGCCAGGGCUGGGAGCUGGGGGUGCUCUAGGGAGGAGGUAGGGGGCAGGCUGUGGAGCAGGACUGGGGAGCAGAGAAGUCAAGAGGAAAGCAGGCCCCAAUGCCAAGACUCAGGUCUUGUGUGACAGUAGAGGAGCAAGGGAGAUCUCUGUGCAAGAACAUGUAGAGAAGAACUGGGGCCCAGUGGCUUACUCCUAUAAUCCCAGAAGGCUUGAGGCAGGAGGAUAACUGUGAGUUUGAGGCUAGUCUGGGCUAUAUAUGUUUUGGGGGCCAGCCUGAGCUACGUAGUGAGAUCCUGAUUGAAAGUAAAUAAAGAAGGCCUGGGGUGCAGUUCAGUUGGUGGGUGCUUAUCUAGGAAGCAUACAUUUCUGGCUUCAGUCCUGCUGUAUAAAUUGGGCAUGGUGGCUCAUACCACUUGGGGAGGGGAGGAAAAGGGAGAGGAGGAGAGGAGGAAAAGAAGGGAGGGGAAGGGGAAGAUCAGAAAUUCAAGGUCGUCCUCAGUUACACAUGGAGUUCAAGGACAGCCUGGAAGAUCUGCUGAGAGAGAUGAUAUCUCAGCAUUAGCCAUAGAUCCCAGUUUGGUGGCUCUCAAGUCCUAUCUCAAAGAAUUACCACAAAACCUCUCCCCCCUUUUCUUUCUCUUUUGAUAAGUGAGUUUAUUGGGUGGCUGCAGAGGUGCCUUGGUUGGGACUAUGGUCUGAUAAGGUGAGACCAGGAAUAACUGGCGCCGUUGAAGGGUUUUCUGCUGAGAUUCCUAGAAAAUUGCAGGUUUACUGAGCAGGGAAAAGGUCUUAGGUUGUUGAUUGUGCUGACGUUCUUGCUUCCCAGCUGAUGAGCAGCCUCGACCAGACUCCCGGGUGAGGGGUUCCUUUCUCUUCCUAUAUCCUUGUUGCUUUCCCUGUCUUUCUAUCAUGCCUCAAUUUUAUCCUGGAAGCAGGUUCCCCUCCACCAGGUCCAGGGCUGGAGCCAGACGACUCCAGAUUCCUUCACUAUACUUUUCCCUGUCGCAGUUAGAAUGUUCUGGAUAUAAGUGACAGAUCACAAUAUUCAAGUGGGCAUAGCUCACUAGCGGGUUCCACAGGAUCAUGUAGCUGAAUGUAGAGAGUGCCCAUGUCCAUGUUCUGGGAUGGCUGGAAAAGAGGGACCUGCCACUCUUAAGCAAGCCCUCACUGGUGUCACAGGGCUAAUCUUAGUUGAAGGCCCAUAUCCUGGCAGGACCAAGCUCAAUGUCACAGAGUUUUCAACUUGCUUAUACUGCUUAACCGUCUUUGUCUCUUUGUCUCGUCUGAUCUAUGCAGGAAUCAGAAAUAUCUGUGAAACAGCCACUGAAUCCACAGAAACGACAGGCCAGUUCUAGUUGUGUCUACCCCCCCACCCCUGCCACAACCACACACACACACACACACACACACACACACACACACACACACACACACACAUCAAGGAAUGAGUGACUCCUCAGAAAGAAACUGAGUUCUUCUCUCCCCAAGAAGGUUUCAUGGUAGCUACUUAGUUAAAGCAAAUGACGUCAUCAUAGGCCCUGGAGCAGAAUGGAUGAUCCUUUCAUGACUGUGUAUUUCCACAAUAAUCCUGCCUAAAGGUGACACUAAAUUUGUCUUAUGACAGCUCCACUUCUUACCUAAAAUAACUUUAUCUCUGGAAAGUGAAAGUUUAUUCGAACAGAAAGAAAACAGUUUUAUUAAGCAAUUAAAAAACAGACCAAGGUGAUUUGGUGAGUCUUGAUGUCCUGGAAUUCCAUCCGGUCACGUGAUGGCCAUCUGCUAAGUGAGUUGCUUAGCUUCCCCCAGCUUGUCCUCUGCUCCCUGACUUGAGCUGGUAAAAGCUUCUCAUUUGGCGAGAUGAUUUGCACAAGGCACUUAGCACGUGGGUUUGACAUGGGUUUGCUUUUGUUUUGAGGGAGGCCAUCAAGAAAUCAUAGACUCACCCAGCUGCAUCUGAAGUAUGCUUAGCAUGUCCGCAACAGAUUCCAGGCAGAAAAACUGAAGCCACGCGAGAGCAGGCAACUAUUUUAGUCAGAGAGAUAGUAGGUUGGCAUCUGAGGCCACGGAUUCCCAAUGGAGUCAACCUCCAGCCCCAGUCUUUGAGCAUCUGUUUUUCCCAGGACGUGUCUUUGCCUCCACAGAGACCACUGUGUGGUAAGGGGAGAAACCUGGUGUCCAUAAUCUAGAGGGGUGUGUGUGUGUGUGUGUGUGUGUGUGUGUGUGUGUGUGUGUGUAUGUGUGUGUGUGUGAGUGUGUGUGCAUAAGCGUGUGCUUGUAUGUGUGUGUACCCUCAUGAUAUCAGGUCCCAAGUAAACAAUACUGUGAAGAGUUACAGAUUCUACAAAGGGGCUGUUCUCACCUAAACAAGGUGAGUCAAAUGGUCCUAUGCCUCCUAAAACAGGACAUACAGCUUCCUCUGGCUCCAUAGCAGGUAGAUGAGAACCUUCAACUAGACUGAAGGCCCUUAUCCUUCAGAGAGUGCCCCGCACUCUGUUCCCUACUGGACUACAUGCCUGCCUUUUAGCAAUCCUGUACCCUGGGGCUAGUCCCUUACCCGGUCUUUAGUCCUUUGCUGUCUUUUAUCCCUCCCUCCCUCCCUCCCUCCUUCCCUUCCUUCUUCCUCCCUCCCCCACCUCUUUCCCUUCCUCCUUCCUUCCUUCCUCCUCCUCCUCCUUCUCCUCCUCCUCCUCUUCUUCUUCUUCUUUUUUUGCUAUGAUGUCUCACAAAACCAUGGCCUUAAACUUGUAAAUUGAAGUUGGCCUUGAACCCUGAUCCUCCCACCUUCACUUCCGAGUGCUGGGAUUAUAGGCAUAAAUCCUCAUGCCCAGAACUUUCAUCAUUUGGAGUUUUAGCUCUGGAGAAAUGCAAGCUGCAUCCCAGAGUUGCUGAAGAGAUGGAAUGAAAUAAUCUGUAUGAAGAUAGACAUUAAGUGCUAUACGGUGGCCAGGAUUGGAUAGUAAAGGUGAGACCAGAGAAGUGAUUGGUCCUGCUUCAGGUGGAAACUACGGAGCCUGUGAAGGGGAGCUGCUGCAGCCUUUCAAGUAACAAUAAAAUAUAUAUGGAAAAGCAGGGUACCACUUUGAGAUGAGAGACAAGCUAUAUCAGUGCCAUGCUCCAUUCUGUGGGGAGUUCCCUUCCCUGAUACACACACACACACAUACACACACACACACACACACACACACACACACACACACACACAUUCUCUCGCAUAGACAGACUACAUACAUACUACACACAUAGCUGCAGAUGUUCACAUAGUGCAUAUACACACCACAAAUUCAUAUACUUCAUAAACAUUCACACAUAAAUACAGAUGGUCACACACCACAUAUAUGUGCAUAUGACACAGAGAUACACUAUACACAUGCAUACACAUACCACAUCAUACUAUAUAUAUAAAAACAGAUAUCAUAUAUACACUACAUACACAUAUACAAUGCUCCUAUCACAUAUAUGUUAUGUACACAAACACAGAUAGUCACACACCACAUAUACGCACAUCACAUACAUACAUACAUACAUACAUACACAUUCCAUACGCAUGCUACAUACACAAACACAGAUUGUAACACACCACACACAUAUAUACAUGCCACAUAUAUGCUACACUCACACAUAAACUUGGAUGUUGCAUACCACAUAUACACAAGCACACACUACAUACUCCACUCAUACACGUGCCAUAUGCAAACAUAGAUGGUCACAUACCACAGACAUGCCACAUAUGCACAUCACACACAUCACACCCUAUGCACAUACUACAUUAUAACCCCACAUACACAGAUGCUCACACCGCAUGCAUGCAUACACACCACAUACAUGCCCCACACAUACAUAUACUUUGUACAUAACACACACAAUCAGACAUAUCACAUACACCUGUAAUCACACAUCCCUUUCCCAGCAAUGCCAGUUUCAACUAGAUGUCAUGAUGAAAAGGAGUUGAGACCAGAUUAAGAUGUCAUAGUAUCCCCUUUUCAUCAUGUGAGUGUGUGUGUGUGUGUGUGCGCGCGCUCGCUGUGAAUUGUGUUGUCAGUUUCUCCAAGCAGACUUGGGAUCUCCAUGGCAGGGGCUUUCAGAAGCAGCUCAGCGUUCUGAGCAUCCCAGCCUCAACUAUGAACCGUCUCUACCAGGGCCUGCUGUAGAUUGCUGCUGAGGUCAGAAAUGAGCCUUCUUCAAAGAUGUGUGUGGCUCUUGGCAGACAGGGCUGCCAAGCUCCUGGAAAGACUGGCGUGAGCAGUGGUGGUCUCCCCAGCCCUGCAGACAGCUGGAGCAGGCAGGGUUCCUGGAGUGGGCAUACCUGCUGGGCCUGGCUCCCGCCUGCUCAGGCCCAUGUUUACCCAGGGUGGGCUGGAGGAACCUGGACGCUGAGCAGGCUCCCCAGGAAUUUGGACAGCCAUCCCUGGACAGCCACCAAGGCUCUGCCUUCCAGACUGAGAUGGAGUGCCACACAUGGGGUGGUGGCAUGAGUACCACAGGUAAGUGACUUGGUUUCCUGGUGUUCCCUGCCAAACAGGCAUCUGUCACCUUACGUUAUUGUCAUCUUCCAUUUAGGUCCCUGCUUUGUGAUGCUUUUCUAAAUAAGAGAAGGCAAGGGAAGCGAUGUGUGGCAGAGCUCCAAGCUUCUCUUAAUUGCAGAUUCCCUUAAGUACCACUUCCCUGGAGCUGCAGGCCUGUCUGCUAGCCAGGCCCACUUCAGCCUGCCUCAUUUUUAAUAGGCAGGAGAUCACUGCCAGCGUGUUCCAACCCUUCCCUUUUGUUCAUCGGCACGUUCUCGCGUGCAAGGGAUCUUAAAUUAUUAGAGAGAAUGAACCUGCCCCCUUUCUUUCAUUUUAACACUGAGUGGAAAGACAGAGAAAAGGCUAGGGAGGAAGAAAGACAGAGAGAAGGGAGAUGGGUGAUUGAAAUGGAAGGCCAGAGUAUUAGCAUUCACGAGUGGGGCUGAUACCAUGGAGAUCAGUGGGGCUGACAAGUUGACCAAAUAUCAAAACAGGAAUGGACCCACUGCCCUGAGGUCCUUUGGAGCCUUCCCACUCCCCACUUCCAUCUGUACCCUCUCUUCCUCCUCAAGGACCACACUGACUUCCAAACCAAACAUGCUAAGGGAUUUAAUGUGACCAAUGUGGGGGGGGGGAGGGGCGGCGGGGGUGUUCUGAGUGAUCAGUGUUCUGGCCUUAGAUCACAUUAACUGUUUUGGGCCAAAGCAAGGAGGUAAAUGGAGUCAGAAGGAGACUGUUUUUCUUCUAGGGGGAGCGGGAAAGCAGAGUGGAGAGCAGAGUAUCUGGAUGUGUAAAUAAGUGGGUUGCACCCCAACAUGGUAGGUCCUGUACUGUCUGUACCAUUUAAUUUCUGCCAUGGUAAGGUAGAUCUGGUGAUGUGUGUUGUAAAUAGUCAUGAAGUGUGUUGUGAGAGGCCCCAGCCCACCACAGACACACACAGCUGCCCUCCCUGGAGAAGGUCAAUUCCUCAGGCUAGCAGGGCUACCCCCCAGGUGGCCACCGCUGCCUCUGAUAGUCAGAAGAGGUCGGGGAUAGAGACAGCGAGGCAGCCUUGAGAAAGUCCAGGGAGAGUUAAUAUCAGAAACUGCUGGACUGAUGCAAAACACACUUGCUAAAUUGCCCUGGUGCCCAAGGAAACAGCUGCACGGUAAUAUGAAGUGGAAGGGAGGCCCGGAGAUGGGAAUUGGUGUGGACACUCCAUUCUUCUUGACUCACUAGAGCCUCUCUGUGGUGAUUGCUGUCCAGUGACCUGGCCCCUUGGCUCCCUGCAGUACCCUCAGGGGGCUGACAGCAGGCCCUUGGCUUUCCCUCUGGAAAAACAGGCGGAAGAAGCAUGUACAGGGUGGUAGAUAGGGACACAGAGUGGAGAGAACUCUGUCCUUGGCUGCUUCAGCUCUGCUCCUGGCUGUGAGGUAGCAAUGAGCAAGCCCGCUAGCCUCACUAGGCUCUGGUUUUUUGUUUUUUGGGUUUUUUUUUGUUUUUUUAGGACUGGAUGUGGAGAAACAGCAACAACUCUGGAGAAAUGAGAUUAAAAACUAAGGUGAAGGGCCUGGGGGACCAGCUCGGUUUAUAAAGGGCUUGUUUUGCAAGCGUCAGGACCUGAGUUCAAUACCCAGAGCCCUCAUUUUAAAAAAAGCCAGAUGGGUGGCAUAAGCUUGCAAACCAAGUACCAGGGAGGCAAAGGAAGGUGGAGUCCUGGGGUUUCCUGACCUGGAAGCCUAGCCUACUUUGUGAGCUCAGGUGAGCAGUGAGAAACCCUUUCUCAAAAAAAUAAAAUAAAGUGAAAAGAGUGGGGGCAGUAUCUAAGGAACUAUAACACCAGAGAUUGUCCUCUGGCCACCAUAUGCAAGUGCCUCCAUGUGCAUGUGUAACUGCACACACACACACACACACACACACACACACACACACACACACACACACACACCACGAGGGUGCUUUGAGGGGGAGAUUUGGUUCAGAAAUAAUGAGGUUAUUCUGUUACAGCCCAUGUCAUUCACUGUGGGUCCGUACCAGUCUUCCUUGCAGGACAUGAGAAGGGAACAUGAGAUUGGGGACAGGAUGGUCCAGUCCAUUUCUUUGCGCUCAUUGGCUGGCCAAGAAGGUACUACCGAGCAGGAGCUGAAUUCAGUGCCUUUCAGUCUAAAUGUCCUAGUAGCCUGUCCCAGGCUCACUCUGAAACCCCCAGGCAGGAAUGGCCUUGAAGAGUCCCCCUUUCCCCUGCUGCAGGGUACCCCUUCCCUUCAUACACUGCCUCUGGAGAAGUGUAGCAGCCGUGAAGGAGACGGGACUGGGGACUCGUCUGUGUCUGGGCUACUGCUACAGCAAUUGCUGCAAGUCGUGUUCCAUGUGAGCCAUGCCACCCCUGCUCCCUACCCCCUCCACUGCUACCCCACCCUCCUCUCCCUCUGCAGAAUUAUGACACUAGGAUGGCCUACAGCCUAGAUGCCGCUGGAACACAGGAAGGUUGCCAACUAUGGUGACAAUUAUGCUCCUCAAAUCCUUGGACUUCUGGUCCUGCUACCUUGCAUCAACUCAGGCCCUACUGGGCUAGCUAUACUCUUGUUCCCAAGCCCAGUCAAGGUUCAGUCUCUGUGACCUCAACCAAGUCAUAAAGCCCACCUGAAGCUCAGUGGCACAUCAUGGAUCUUCCUUCUUCCUUAAGACUCUCUACAAGUCAUUCCUGGGGGACGGAGCAUGGAAUUAAGAGUCAGACACAAACAGGACCGAUUCUUUAAACAUACUGAACAUAUACACUCAGAGCUGGAGAGACGGCUUAGCAACCAAGAAUACUUGUUGCUCUUGCAGAGGACCUCAGGUUCAAUUCCUCCACCCAUGUGACGGCUCACAACCAUCUAUAACUCCAGUUGCAGGAGAUCUAAUGCUCUCUUCUGACCUCUGUGGGCACCAGGCUUGUAUGUAGUACACAGAUAUACAUGCAAACAAAGCACUCAUGUGCAUAAAAUAAAGUAAAGAAAUGUAAAAAAAUUAAAAUAAAAAAUAAACGUAUAUAUGCAACCCAUAGAGUAUGUACUCAAUUCAGAGAUUCUAUGUCUAAACUAAACAUAGGCUCCACCACCUAGGCAGAGCUGAGAGUAAUAAAUGAAACAGAGUCUUUGUAAGCCCUGACUUGGUUCUCAUUCCUCUCUUUUGCCUCAACCUCCCUUCCGUAGUGGGUGACAAUACUCAUCUUGCAAAGUGAAUGAGACCCUAGACGCUAAUGGCCCAGCAAGGGGCUGGACCACAUGAGACUUGCAGUAGCCAGCAUCCAGCCUUGCUUGUUGUUCCCUUGUAGCUCAAUCAUCUCUUGAUUGAUGCUAGAGGCAAGACUCUGGCUAUCUGGAAUUUUUCUACGUGAAAUCAAGUAGGCAAGCAUCUGAAAAUGGUCUAACUUCUGCCCUAGGCGGAAGAAACACUGACCUCCUUUGCUGACCUUGGCCACUCCUGUCUCUGGCCCUGGGCCUUUCUCUGAGAUGCCUACUGGGAGUGGUCUUUCAGCUGGGGUCUCAGAGCCCCUUCUACCAAUGAUCCGGGCUCUUGGCUGCUCCACAUGGAAGGCAGAUGGUGUUGAGUCACCGCGCUUCUCUCCUCCCGCGGUAGGUUGGGCCAACUCAGCAGAGCUGACUUCAGCAUCCUUUUGGCAGUGCAGAUGAAGCUAAGCAUUCUCGCUCACCGUCUGGGUGGGCACAGCACAGGAGGCAGUUGACGGCUUUUGGAAUCCUCCCUGAUGCUGUAGUAUUUCUGGGGAGGUUGCACCGUAAGCCUCCAACGUCCCUGCCAUUGAACCUCCCGGAGACAUCUCUCUUUGUUGGCCUGCAUUUCACUCUGUCGCUGCCUGAAAGGCUUCUUCCAUUUGCUUUUAUAUAUUCAUCUGAAAUGACUCCUCCAAUAUUUAAUCUUUAUCAGAACCUGGAAGCCUGGUAUUUAUUUUGUGGGUCAGUUGCUCAUCCAUUUUCCCUGAGGCCUCUGGCAGGAGGCUGGAGAGCCUGACACCUUCGGGGGGGAGGGGGUGCUGCCAUCAGCGUUAGUCCUGGUGACAGCAGGACUAAUCAAAGUACCGCAGGCUACCGGGGAGAAGAUAAAUCUGGCGAAAGGCUAAUGAGUGGGCUGUUCCCGUGGCCUGCAUGGCUGCCAAGAGUCUUCAGGCCUUCUAGAGGCACAGCAGGGGUCAUCUUCUGGGCUCUGGACUGAGAGAGGAUGUGGUUGGCAUGCGUGAGGCAUCUGACCUGCGUGCUGAAAGCUUUGUAUGACCAGGCAUAGAGUUGGCAGCUGCCAGCUGCCUGUAUUCCUAGCGCUUGGUGGGUGGCGGCAGGAAAUUCAGAAAAUCCAGGUUGUCCUCAGCUCUGUAGUGUGUUUGAGGCUAGCCUUGGCUACAUGAGAAUCAGAGUCAAAUUAAUAUAGGGCUGUGUCAAAGGAAAGUGCCGUUCACUCCCCGUGGCUAACAAAUCUAAUCACCAUAUCACCAUAUUUACAUUACAGCAUGAAGGACUUGGGGGUUGUACGAUAUUUUGUUUGUGUUCUGACCAAUAAAGCUUGCCUGAAGAUCAAGAGCAGAGCUAGCCACUAGUUAACCCAUAGAAGCUGGGCGGUGGUGGCUCACGCUUUUAAUCCCAGCACUCAGGAGAUAGAGACAGAAAGUGAUAAGGUGGGGUGGAGACAGGAUCUCAGCCCUUUUGGUCAGAGGAUCUGGAGAGGUAGGCGGUCACUGAUGGCUACUCUUCUGUUUCUCUGAUCUUUCGUGUUACUGCCCUGAUAUCUGACGCCUGUUUUUUUAUUGAUAAGACUAAUUAAAUUUAUGCUUCACUUCACUGGGGGUAAGCAGAUGAAAGAAGUUUUAGAUAGCCUUGACCAACUAACUAUAAAAAGUUAUGAAAUAGUUUUCUUUUGUAGUUUUUUUGUUCAUUUGUUUUGAGACUGGAUCUCACUAUGUAGCCCUGGAUGUCCUGGAACUCCAUACCUAGACCAAGCUGAGCUUGAACUCACAGAGAUCUGCCUGCCUCAGCCUCCCGAGUGCUGGGAUUAAGGACGUGUGCCACCACACCCAGCUCCUUUGUAGAAUUAGGCGAGGUUUAAAACGAACACUGGAGCUGGGCGUGGUGGCGCACGCCUUUGAUCCCAGGACUCAGAGGCAAGCAGAUCUCUGUGAGUUCGAGGCCAGCCUGGUUUACAAAGUGAGUUCCAGGACAGCCAGGGAUGUUACACAGAGAAACCUUGUCUGGAAAAACCAAAACAAACAAACAAAAAUAAAUAGACAAAUUAAUAAAUAAAUAAAAUGCACACUGUGUCACAUAGAAGUCAUCUUCAUCUCUAAAAUAUGCCCAGAGCAUCUAUCUAUGCUGAAGUGCACCAGCCGGUCUCUUAGAGCUCCUGCUCACAAAGAGAGUAUUUAGGUAGCUAAGAAGCAAGACAGCCCAUGGUUUCUAAUCCCCUUGUCAAGCUUAUUUAUUAGGAAGUAGCUGAUUGGGGAGUCUCAGGGUAAGAAAACCUGGGAAAGGACAUUUGGUCUCAGGAAGAAAGUGGAAAAAUGAUUUAUUGAUGCCUACAUUGUUCCAGCAUGGGCAAUGGUACCCGCUUCCUCUCCUGCCAAAGGAAUGGAGCAUAUUCGUUUCAGCAAAAGUGUUUUUGAACAUCUCCGUCAGUCCUGUGCUGGGCGUUUGGGGUGUGGAAUGGAAGCCGUUGGGCAGAAUCCAAUCUAGCUGGGGGAGUGUAGGGAACUGGUUGGUGGCUGUGCCUUUCUAAAAUCGUCCGAAUGGGAAGCUGGUGGAGUGCUCGCUUGCACAGGAGUCCUUGGAGCAGAGAGGGAGAUGAGGAGCCACCGGGGGAACAGUGGCGUCUACCUGUACUAUUAGUAUUCCACCAUCAAAAGCUGAUCGUGAAGAGCUGGCAAGAAAGGAUGGAGGACAGCGAAGCGCAGGUGAGCGGGUUUCUUAUUCCUUCGUUUUAACUUCCUCUGCCCCUUCUCUCAGAAGCCUCAGGAGCAGAUGCAGGCCGCUGUGGUGGCCCCUCCCGCCUGGGCCUGUGCAUUUCAAAGCACCGCCUGGUGAAGAAGUUGUUGCUGGACUCCCGUGCUGACCCCACUCCAGCAGGCAUGUGAUGAAUAUUUCAUAGUCCAGAUGUAAUCCUGCCUGCAUUUUCUUCAUCUGCCUCUGGCCGGUAACUCUCUCUCUCUUCCCAGUCCUCCAUUCCACCCAAGCCCCAGUCCCCAGCCUGGUCCCAGUCGGGAAAAAUCAGUCACAACGUUUAUCAGGAAUCGGUAUGAACCAGCCAAGCGCUGUGAAGAGCUAAUCUGUUCAGAGCUAAUAAGACCGAACAAAGUCGCCACAGACUCCGCCAUGGGCAUCGCUGAUAAGGAUUUGUCAGAAGAAUUGCAGGUGAGAUCUGAACAGCCCCGGGAAGUGGAAUGCAAAUGCCUCGCGCCCCCAUCAGUUUUGCGGGGCCUCUGCACCCAGGGACUGCCCACAGGACAGAGUGGGAAACGCACAGGGCGGGGCAGGUAGAGGACUGCGGGAUGCAGGCGUGCAGAAUCACAGAGCACAGUCAGAAAGACUAGGGCAAUGAUGGGGAGAGGGAUGUGGAGAUGUAGACUAAAGGAUGGGUAAGGACGAGACAGGAGCCUUGGGAAAGCCUAGCCUCUUUGGGCUCCUGGGCUGAAUGGAUGUGGUAACUAUGGGUGUUGACAUUGUUUAGAGGAGGCCAGGAGACAGCUUAGGGAGCAAAGCGCUUGCCUUGAACGUGUGAGGAUCUGAGUUUGAAUCCCCACACCCCAUGUAAAGGUGAGCACAGCAAUGUGGGCUGUAACUCCAGUGCUCCUACUGUGAACUAGGAAAUGGACACAGGAGAAUCUGGAGGCAGGCUGGCCGGGCUGGCAUAACCAGUGUCACUACGUCACUACAAAUGAGAGAGACAAAUAGUCCUUGACCUUUAUGUGUACCGUGUGGUACACUCAUGCUCCCUUCCAAACAAAGACAACAACAAAAGGAAAAAGGAAGGAGAGAGGGAGGGAAGGUGGGAAGAAAAGAAGCUGGGUGGAAGUAAGACCUCCACUAUCUGGAAACUGCGAAGCUGCUGGAGACAGAAGAGGGGUUGAGAAUCACCCACUGGGACCAGUAAGGGAGUGAUGCCGUAGAGCUCUGAGGUCAGAGUGGGGUGGUGGAGUCAGGCAGGACACGGGCCUGGGUUUCCUUCUGUUGUGCCCAGCUGUUGAGACCUUCAGGAAGUUGCCCACGUGCCUUCCUGAGGCUCAGUUUCUUCAACACUCUGCUCUGGGCGCCAUGGGAUGUGACACAGGAAGGCUAUAAAAAACAUUAGUUAUUUUCUGUCAUCAAUGUUGCUUUUGUUUUUGUUUUUUUCUAUUUUGGUACUGGGGUUGGACCCCAGUGCUUUGGGCAUGCUUAGUACACACUAAGCACCUCCUCCUGAGCAUCUCCUCCACUGAGCACCUCCUCCACUGAACACCUCCUCUUCUUAGUUGUUGGGCAUAUAACCAGAGACCAUCUACAAUGGAAUGCUCUCAUUUGGCUAUUGAUAAACUUUUUCUGUAAAGGACAUUUUCAACUUUGAAGGCCAAUCAGUGUGGAUCUCAAUGACUGAACUCUGUUGUUGGGUCAAAGCAGCAAGAGAUUGAAGAGCAAGACUGUAUUCUAAUAAAACUUUAUUUAUGGUCGGGCGGUGGUGGCGCACGCCUUUAAUCCCAGCACUUGGGAAGCAGAGGCAGGUGGAUCUCAGUGAGUUUGAGGCCAGCCUGGUCUACAGAGCGAGAUCCAGAAAAGGCGCAAAGCUACACAGAGAAACCCUGCCUCGAAAAUAAAACAAAACAAAACAAAAACCCACUUUAUUUAUAAGAACAAGGAGAAGGGCUGUCUUACACCUGUAAUUUAGCACUCAGGAGGCAGAGGCAAGAAGAGCAAUGCCAGACUGGUCUACUUCGUGAGUUCCUUGCUAGCUCUGGCUACAUAGUGAGACCCUGUGGUUUGGAUUUGGUCUUUGGAACUUUCUUUAUUGAGCCGUAAUGAAAUAGAUCUGCAAAGCUAUGUUAGGCCCCAUCCUCAGAAAAACUCCAAAGGCAGGCCAUGGGCAGGAUGUCUUAUAGCCAACUGGUUUCCUGAAGAAUCUGGAGCCCUCAGGGGUUGGGGUUUGGGGGUAUGUGAGACCCAGCAUGAAGAUGGCUGCACUGGGUUUUGGUAGGGGGCAGACUCUAAGAGACCUGCAAUUUCCCUCCAAAGAAGACAUCCCGUCCCUGGCUUUGUUAGAGUCUGCCCUCUCUUCAUCUGGCUGCAAGUUUACUGUGGGCUGAUGUAUUUUUACAGCAUCUCUUAAAAGCAGACACGUCUUCAUCUUUUUCUUGAAAUACAUAUCGUUAAAUCUCUCUCCCAAUUCCUUCUGGCUUAUUGGACUUGGGAGCAAGCUGUGAAGAAUGAUUUGUUUUUGGGCCACAAAGCUACCCCCAAGACAGGCUUCUGUCACACCCCUGUAGCCACAGGGGAACGUGAAGGCGGGGAGGGCGUGAGGCUUUGCUGUGGGGUGUAAAUGAGGUUUUUGAAUAACACUGGUUUCCUAUCCCUCACAUGUUUUAAAAUCUGAUAGUUUUCUCAAGUGCUAAACUCCCCACUCCCAGGGCAAUAAUAGUCCUGCAUCUGUGUGUAGAGUUACAACUCGGGAAAUACUUUCUCUCUCUGUCUGAAAGUCUCCACUACCAUAAGGAAGCAGGCGAUCCAUCGGGUGAGGAAACGGAAGCCUGGAGGGACUACUCAGGAGCAGAAGAGGCCAGGAGAGACGUGCUGGGAGUGAAAUAAACAAUGGUCUCUAACAUAUUCAGGUCCUGAUGUUUGGAGUCCGGGAUGUGACACUUGAAAAGGGAGUUUUUGCAUCCUGAGGAGGAUUACCCCUGAUUUUCCAUGUGGGCCCAGAAUGCCGUAGAUGUUCUUAGAACAGGGAGCCAGAAUCACAUACAUACAUGCUCAUGCACCUACCACAUGCAUGCUCUUCCACAUGUAUGUGCACACACACUCACAUAUAUGCUCACAACACAUACAUGCAUACAUGUACACCCGCUCACAUAUAUGCUCACAACACAUACAUGCAUACAUGUACACAUGGCUCACACAUGUGGAUGCACACACACACACUUGUGAGUACAAAUGUUUGCACAAACCUGUUCAUGCACACAAGCUCAUGUCAGUGUGAGCAUACACAUACACACAUGAUCCUAUACAUGCUCACAAGUACUUACACACAAGAGUGCAUGUACAUACAGAAGUUGAAAAUGGAGGAGGAAGAGAUUGUUGACAUUGAAGACGGGAGUGAUGUGGCCACAAGCCAAAGACUGCCAGCCAUCAAGAGAAUCUGGAAGAGAGCAGGCACAGAUUCUCUCCUGCAGCCUCCGGAUAGAGCGUGUCCCUGCUGACUCCUUGGUUUUGGCCUGAGCCGUGACCGUUUUCCAGCCCCAUGAGGGAAUCAUCUCCAUUGUUGGUCACAAGGAGCCAGUGCUGCAGUAAAAACAGGAGCUAAGAGGUCAGAAUGCGUGGGAAGAAACGUCUACCUGCUACCCUGCUCUCUGUCAAAGGUGACCAGCCAACCAGCUGCUCCUUACUGGUCCUCCAUAUGGUGCUUAGAGAUGUGGACCCAGGGAGAACAUGAGUCAGGCCCAUGCCCUCAGAUGAUCACAGGCUGGCUGGGGGUGUCGUGCACAGUGGCACCCGAGCAGAGGGAACAGGAACCAACACACCCCACAAAAGCAAUGCAUUCCACCAGACAGGAUGAGGCGUGGAGGAGGAGUGCGUUAUUUCUGGAGAGUCUGGCACGGGUUUACCUCUUCUCCAUUGGAUCACAUCCAUUUCCCACCUAUUGCCAUCCUGAUUUUGAAAUGUGAAGUUGAGGAGCUACACCACCAACAGCUGGUAAAGAUGAGACAAAACCCAGGGGCUCCUAUUUUGCUGGUGGGAUUGUUUAGUUCUGUGGCAUUGGGGGAAGUCAAGGCAGUGAUACCUGUUAUGACGAGAAGACUAUAACUUUUGAUUCAGCGUUACCACUUUCAACAGAUCCAUCCUAUGGAAACAAAAGCAUUAGUAUGAAAGACUGCCAGAUUGGGCUGCUUAUUAUAAUGCAUGAUUUUAGGUAAUGACAUAAUUGUAAAUAACCUGGAGACCCAACAGUAGAUAUCUGAAUGCAUUUUAUUAACCCAUACCCUAGAAAAUAAUAUACAUAUCUUUUAAUGAGUCAGUCCUGUAACUGUUGAAUAGGGAUAUAUUACAACAUGAGAUAAAGAGGUUGCUUUAUAGAGAGUAUCAUUCAUUUUUAAAAAAGGCAUGUACAUGACGAGCGUGGAAGGAGGUUGAAAAUGGUGGGUGCCUUGCAUGGCAUACAGCAGAAACCCUAAGUUUUAACACCAUUGGUGUUAUGGUUUGGGUGGAAAGGCUGCAUGCUUGUGUUGCACACUUGGUGAUGUUUUAGGGAGACGAUGAAAACGCUGACAGAACCUAGCUAGAGGAAACAGGCCCCUUUGAAGAUUGUAGGUGACCCCUGGUCCCUUUCUCUCUAUUUCCUGUCCACCGUGAGAGAGACAGCCUUUUUCUCGACGUGUUCUUGCCACCAUGGUGUUCUGCCUCACCAUGGGCCCAUAGUCAAUGGAACUAAGACUGUGAACUAAAAUCUGUACCUGCGAGCUCAAGGGACUCUUUCUUCCUGGAUUACAGAUGUGAGGAACUGCCUCAUACAAUCAUCAAUACUUAGAAGGCUGCUUAGAAGGUGCUAGAUGCCUGGGCCACCCCAGAGUUCCUGACCUUGCAGCGGUGGAGUGACCAACACUGGGUCUGAUGAACACAUCCUGAGUGACAUUACUGCCACCCUCCUAGGGAACACACUUUGAGAACCAUGGUGCAGCGUAGAACAGGGGUGGGGCAGCAGAUGUGGGGAUGAUUAUGGACUUAUCUUCAUACAUUUCAUGUUCUUUCACUAGUUUUAGCAUGAUGAUUUUGUCAAAUGCUAUCAAGUUUGAAGACUUUUUUUUUUUAAGAGAGAUGGCUCAGAGGAUAAGAGCACUGACUGCUCUUCCAGAGGUCCUGAGUUCAAUUCCCAGCAACCACAUGAUGGCUCACAACCAUCUGUAAUGAGAUCUGGUGCCCUCUUCUGGCCUGAAGUCAUACAUGCUGUAACAUAAUAAAUAAAAUAAAUCUUUAAAAAAAAAAAAAAAAAAAGAAAGAAAGAAAAGAAAAGAAAACCAAAGAGUAAUCUACCUAGCUCAUCUUUGCCGAUUUCCUUUCCUGGCUCCAGACGGCCUACAGAGUAAAGUUUAAACUCAUCUGAGCACUCACCAGUUUGGUAUCACCUGACAGUGCACAGUAGACCUGCCCAGGAGGCACAAAGCUGGCCAUCCUUCCCCAGGGAGCCACGGUUCCCUACAUCUGCACCUUUCUCACAUACCCGCCUUAAAUGAAUACAUAGAGGUUCUUUCUUCUGGAUUUGCUGGGGAUGGAACUCACAGCCUAUACAGGAAGCACUCUCCCACUGAGCCCCACCCCAACCUAGUAGACUUUUCUGUAUGUUCCUAGCACUGGGAACAGGCCUGCAAAUACAGUAGGUAGGUGCUCAAUACAUAUUAGGGGUUGGGGAGGACAGAUGAGUGAACAUCUGGUCCCCAGGGAAAACCUCUGCCGUGGAACCUCCUUUUUAGGUAACCUGCUCUGCUCGGCAUCUUCUCCCAAGGGCUGGCUGUGCUUCCCCAGGUGCUGGUUUGUCAAGGAACCAGCAAACUAACCCAGACAGCAGCAGGAGGACAGGCAGGUGUGCCGGAGCAGGGUGUGUGUGCUCCAGCCCCACCUGUCUCUCCUCCAAGCUCUUCAGCCCGCUCAGCCUCCCGGAGCCCACUCAGUCUAAGUGGGUAAUGGUGAAGGGAGGGUGGAGGACGCAGGGAGGUCCCAGCAUGAGGCUGUAAGCAGGCUGCAUCCUUAUGCUAAUUUCUCUUUGGAGCGAGAAUGUGUGUUUGUACGGAUGAAUGGGCACCUAUGGAUGUGGGUGUGUGAGCAUGUGCAUACUCAUCGGUAAUUAAUUACAAAGCCUCACGCUUGUGUGGUACUUUACAGUUUAUAAAGCAUUUCACGUCCAUUAUCCUAUUAAGUCCUCAUAAAACCCCGUGACUUAUGCUGUGAUAGUUAUUUACAUUUUUGUAACGGGCAAAAUAAGCCUUAGAGAGUUUAAGUGACUUGCUUCACAGACGGCACCUUGAGGAGACCCAGGGAAUAAAGAGUACAGGUAUCCCUGGCCAUGUGUCCCAAUGCUGAUGUUCCUCCUGGUACUCAGGAUGACUGAGAGGAGGCAUGGUAGGAUUUCACAGCAUCACCUACUCACCCCACCUGGAAGGAUGCUAUUCCAGGUCCUCAUGCCCCAUAGUCAGCAUGUCACUCAGUAGACCAUGCACAGGCACAGUGGGGGAUCUAUGUGUCUGCAGGAAGGAAUGAACCUUAAUGGGUAAGAGGUCACACUUUGAAGUCUAGUAGGUUUAGGUCCCAAUGUUAUAGCUGUUUCUCUUCCUAGCCAUGGACUGUUGGGCAAAUCACUGACCCUCUUGGUUCCUUAGUGACCAUAUCUGGGAAAGAAAGAGAGAGAGAGGGAGAGAGAGAGAGAGAGAGAGAGAGAGAGAGAGAGAGAGAGAGAGAGAGAGAGAGAUGGAUCUUGCUGACUUUGACUACCGGGCUAUCAAAUGGUGAGAGUGUGUGCAAGGUGCUUCAUACAGGCUCUGGUGUAUAGCCAGCCCUCAACAGCCAACAAACCAUGAUUACCUCAGAGGAUGCAGCCAGGGAGGGACUCUGAGAUGAAGGGCCUCUUUUACUGAGUCUUGCUGGGUGUCCCUGAGUUGCAGAAGCAUGGGGGUCUGGGCAAAGCAAUCCCCUCUGUUGUCUCUGGGACCUGGCUUUCUCUCCAACAUCCUGUACUGGCAGCAAAGUACCAGGCGUGGGGCCACAAAGGAGGAGGGCACUAUUUGGGCACACAGCCUCAGAAGGUAUGACUGACAGCUGACUUUAACAGAAGGAGCAUGCUGUGGCCGCUUCUUCCCAUGGUCAGAAGGCAGCAAAAGUGGGCUGCAACCUCAUGGGUACCCAACCUUUAGAGUCCCCUCCCCAGGAACUGAAGGCUCCAUAACUUCCCCACAUAGCUGAACCAGGUGAACCAGCUGAGGACCAAGUGUUCCACAGGAGCCUAUGUGGGGCAUUUCCCUGUCAAAUCACAGCCAAAAGGUAAGAGCUGGUAAACAGGAAGAUCUCUGAAGGAGGCCAGGCUCCUGUGGGCACUGGGGCAGCCAGAGGAGGGGGAUGUGGGAGAGUUUGGAGAAGAGGAUGGAGACAGCGACAGGGCAAGUGUAGGAUCAGGCCUGUAGACGGCUCUCAAGCAGAAGGGGUGUGAGUAUUAGGAACUGCAGCCCCUUAGAGGUUGGAGGGUGGAGCCCAUCAUAAAUGGCCCUCUGCUCAUAUUUCUCUCCCAUCCUUCAUGCUGACAGGUUUCCUCAGUUCUUGGGUCUCAAAGCCAGGAGAUCUGGUUGGACUGUGUUUCCUUUACAUACUACCUACAUGAUCUUAGGCUAAUCCCUGAGCCUCUCUGGGUUGCAUUUUCCACCUCUGAAAAGUGGAUAAUGUCAAUAAUGCCAAGCUUGAAAGUUUAUAUCGUGAAGAUUUGAUGGAGUGAUGUCCCUAGCCUGCACACGGAAGGGAAGGGACAAGUCUGAGUUAUUGUCCCCUAAUGAACAUGACCUCCCUUCCCCUCUCCUCUCUCCAGGUGUGAAAAUGACCACCUGGCCACAGAGAGCUGAAGAAAUGAACCUGUGUGGACAGGUGUCUUUCUUUCCUUUAUCAUCUUGGCAGAGCAUCCACUAUAAUGGAAGCAAGGCCCUCUGGGAAGAAAUCUGAUCACAGUGACAGAGACCAGGUGCCUCAGAACCGGAAGAGAAGUGGAAGAUGGGUCCUGAGACUUCCUCCAUAUUUUUUGAGCACCUGCUACGUGACAGAUGCUAUUUCAUAUCUGUCUGCACUUUAGACACAUUCCUUCUAAGACCUCGCCUUAAGCUAGGACUGGUGCAGGGACAUCCUCACACUGCACCAACCUGUCAUCCUCCAUACUACCACCAAAUCAACUUUCGGAAGUGCCACCUGCCUAGGUGACUUUCAAAGACCCUCUUCUACGACUUCUUCACUCCUCUGGUGGCAGCCUCCGGUCCCCAGAUGUGGCCUGUGGUUUCCCUUACUUCUCCAAAAGACUAAGCCCUCCCGUGCUCUGUGUGGCCCUCCGCCUCCAGUCAUUUCAGCUACAGUGAGCUGGACUCGGAAGCUCGCUGCUUCCACACCCAUCAGCACUGUCCGGCCUCAGGAAGUUCCUUCCCUGUGGACACCCACCCUCCCUCUCUCCUCUCUGAGAGGACUUGGCAUGAUCCUGCUGAGGAGUCAAGCUGGGAAAGAGUCUACCUGCAACUUCCACUUCAAGAAGCAACUCACUGCAUCCUUAAAAAAGAGAACAGGAAGAAUAAGAUGCACGUUAGCAACUCGAUGCAUCAUCGAGGUGCCCAGGCAUGGGAGAGGAGGACCGAAAAGGGCAGUGCUCAGAGUCGAGAGGGUUUUUUGUUUUUCAAGAUAAGGUUUCUCUGUGUUAGCCCUGGGUGUCUUGGAACUCACUCUGUAGACCAAGCUGGCUUCAAACUCACAGAGAUCCUCCUGCCUCUGCCUCCCAAGUGCUGGGAUUAGAGGUGUGUGCCACCACUGAAGCAUCCCUCUUUAAAAACUCUAAAAUCUGAAAGGCUCCCAAAUCUGAAACUGUGUGUGUGUGUGUGUGUGUGUGUGUGUGUGUGUGUGUGUGUGUGUGUGUGCGUGUGUGCAUGUAUAUGCACCCUCUUGCACAUGCGAAGGCCAGAGGAGGACAUGGGUGAUUCCUCACCUCGCCUCCUUGUGACUGAGUCAUUGAGUCUAGAGUUGGGCAAUCAUCCAGCACACCCAGCGAUCCCCCUGCCUCUGUCCUCGUAGUUCUGGUUUUACAGGUGUGCAUGCUUUGAUGCGAGUGCUGAGGAUUCAGACUCAGGCCACGGUGCCGCACAGCAAGCAGUCUGAACCCACAGAGCCAUCCCUUAGCCCCCGAAUUCUGACAUUUUUGAAUGAUGACAGCGUGAGAGUCCACACCUGACCCCAAGUGAAGAGUCAAAAUUUAGGUGCAACGAGAAUGUAUAGAACCACUGCCAUGCUGUGUGGAUGUUCGGAAAACACCUGAAAUUUCAUGUUUAGACUUGGGUCCCCAAAACAUCUCAUUAUGUAUAUGGAACUAUUCCAAAAUCCAGAAAACUCCGGUAUCUGAAUCCCUUCUCACUUAAGCAUUUGGAAGAAGGGAUGCUCAGUCUGUCCCGGGAGAAACACUGUUGGGGCUGUUUUCCUUUCCAGCCUCCUAAGUCACCAAUGGAGAGGGCUGCCCAGGAGGGGAACUGGCCUUGGCUCCUCUUCCCCCAGAGCUUGGCUAAGGUUUAACAAGGCAGAGGAUUUGUUUAUCGAAUUUGAAAUGUGGAAAGGGUCCAGGGGGAAGGUGAAGAAUUUCAAAAUUCUUGCCAGGGCUGAGCAAAGAAAGAUCUCUGUCUGUCCGUCUGUCUGGAGGUCUGGGUUUGCUCCAGUGGCACUGUGUGUGUGUGUGUGUGUGUGUGUGUGUGUGUGUGUGUGUGUGUGUGUGUGUCUGUGUGUGUGUCUGUGUGUGUGUCUGUGUGUGCGCACGCACUUCUGUCCUCCCUGCCUGGGCUUGGGUGCUAAGUUACCCGAGAAAGGCUGUGUGCCCACCCCUUGGAAUGCUACAUGCUAAUGAAGGAGGCAUUCCAAUGCUGCUCCCCCAGGGCCCUGAGCCCGGGAUCACAUCUCCAUUAAUACACCCCUGGAGUUCAUUGUGAUUGGCAUCGCUACAAUAAACAGUAAAUGAGUGAAUAAUAAUUGGCCAUCUAUUUGACAGUGUUUCUGAGGUUGCCAUGGCAAUCACACCUUUUAUUAAGCUUUAUUAAGCUGCAACAUAGGCAGUGAGGAGGCAGCAGCCUAGCACCCUGGGCAGCUGCAGCCAAGUCUGACCUGCUCCAUGACCG